UCCGAUAUGGUGUAGUGGCCAACAUGAUGCCCUCUCAUCUUUGUUGAGAGGUUAGGCAUAGCCCCGAGUUCGAUUCUCGGUUUCGGAA
rnacentral:tRNA from 2 species